UACGGGGGGAGCAAGCGUUGUUCGGAUUUACUGGGCGUAAAGGGCGCGUAGGCGGCUCGUCAAGUCGGGCGUGAAAUCUCCAGGCUUAACCUGGAAAAGUCGUUCGAUACUGUUGAGCUAGAGUGUGGAAGAGGCUACUGGAAUUCCGUGUGUAGCGGUGAAAUGCGUAGAUAUACGGAGGAACACCAGCGGCGAAGGCGGCUCUCUGGGACGGUACUGACGCUGAGACGCGAAAGCGUGGGGAGCGAACAGG
rnacentral:rRNA from 1 species